rnacentral:rRNA from 1 species
AAUCAACGCUGGCGGCGUGCCUAACACAUGCAAGUCGAGCGAGAAAGGGGGGCAACCCCCGAGUACAGCGGCAGACGGGUGAGUAACACGUGAACAAUCUACCCUCGAGUGGGGAACAACACCGCGAAAGCGGUGCUAAUACCGCAUAACAUCCUGGGUUCGCAUGGACGUGGGAUCAAAGGCUCAAGUUGCUCGAGGAGGAGUUCGCGGCUGAUUAGCUAGUUGGUGAGGUAACGGCCCACCAAGGCGACGAUCAGUAGCCGGCCUGAGAGGGUGAACGGCCACACUGGAACUGAGACACGGUCCAGACUCCUACGGGAGGCAGCAGUGGGGAAUUUUGCGCAAUAGGCGAAAGCCUGACGCAGCAACGCCGCGUGGAGGAUGAAGGCCUUCGGGUCGUAAACUCCUGUCAGGGGGGACGAAACCGGGAAACCGGGUGGCUGUACCCCCGGAGGAAGCCACGGCUAACUCCGUGCCAGCCG